UGCCCAAGAGAUCGGGAUAACACCUGGAAACAGAUGCUAAUACCGGAUAACAACAGAUGAUGCCUAUCAACUGUUUAAAAGAUGGUUAUGCUAUCACUCUUGGAUGGACCUGCGGUGCAUUAGCUAGUUGGUAGGGUAACGGCCUACCAAGGCGAUGAUGCAUAGCCGAGUUGAGAGACUGAUCGGCCACAUUGGGACUGAGACACGGCCCAAACUCCUACGGGAGGCAGCAGCA
rnacentral:rRNA from 1 species